GGGCUCAUUACGAUGGCAGCACAUAUGCUGAAGCUGAAAUGAAACAGAAGGUAGCACGAUCCUUAUGCAAGUAUGACACAUAAAUCCAUGAAGCAGGCCAUAUUUAA
rnacentral:snRNA from 1 species